UGGAGACUUUGUGCUGGAAAUGUAGGCUGGAAUGGCUCUCCCUGACUGAAGGUCUCUUCUUUUUCCUGUUGACCUGGAAUUGGAGCAUAUUGUGUCUCUGAGGAGAUGGAUAAGCAGUUUUUCCUUCUGUCACCAGGCAAGAGGAAAUGCUUGGUCAGUGAGAACUGCUGGAGGAAAGGUACAGAUGCUGUUUCACUCCACUGCCACAAUUAAAAUUACCUAGAUAGAGGCAGUACAAAGGUGCUCCUUUUGCUCUCUUGAACCUCAAAGCACAGACGUCAAGGUCUGGAUCUCUAGCCUACUGACAUCAAUGGGAGCCCUUCCAUUCACCUCCUGAAGUCUGUGCCAGGCCAAGUAGGAACACAGAGGAGAGAAGGCAAUUUGGCUGUCACAUUUUCCUUUCAUCAAGAGCUUUACACAGACAAACUCUUUUUAAUGUAGUUUCUGCUGCUGAGUUGGAGAUUUUUGUCCCUGUGAAGUGAAUUUCCACUAAUAACUGCAGAGGUUUUCACGCAGUCCCAGGAUGGGCCUGAGAAUGGAGCAAAGAACUGGAGUUACGUGGGAAAUCUGAGGCGCCAAACAUUGUUCUAAGGGUGUGACUCUUGACCUAUCUGCUUUCUAAGGAGGAAAUGUACUGAGUGAUAG